UACGGGGGGGGCAAGCGUUGUUCGGAAUUACUGGGCGUAAAGGGCUCGUAGGUGGCCAACUAAGUCAGACGUGAAAUCCCUCGGCUUAACCGGGGAACUGCGUCUGAUACUGGAUGGCUUGAGUGUGGGAGAGGGAUGCGGAAUUCCAGGUGUAGCGGUGAAAUGCGUAGAUAUCUGGAGGAACACCGGUGGCGAAGGCGGCAUCCUGGACCACGACUGACGCUGAGUGAGCGAAAGCCAGGGGGGCAAACGGG
rnacentral:rRNA from 1 species